GCCUUCGUGGUGUAGUGGUCAGCACGCUCGGCGCGUAUUCGAGAGGUCCGUGGUUCGAGUCCUGGCGAGAGCA
rnacentral:tRNA from 1 species